UCUUGGGUGAGGGCGCCGGGGCCUGCGGGGGAGCGGCGGGCGGAGGCCGAGGGGCUCCCCUGGGCUCUGGUGGAGAAGCUCGUGCGAGGCCACGCGUGUCAGCUGAGUCGUGGCCUUGUGCCGGGCUUGGUGGCGUAGUCGCCUUCCAGCUUUCCGAGGGGUGCUCCUUCAUCCCGGCCUGUGUAUCAGGCCUGUCGGACGGGACUUGGCCCCAGCAAGGAGGCCGUGGCUAAGAAGUUGCUAGCUGUUAAAGCAGAGAAAACUGCCUCGUCUGGAAACAGAAGUAUUGCUGUAGCUCACGUGCAGCCUUCAGGUCUAUGUAGAGAUUCAAUUUGCAAACAGCUGCAGAGAUACAUGGGAGAACAUUGCCAUUUCUAGCACCUGUCUGAUCAGAAGAGGUUUUUGUCUCCCAGGUUGCAAAAAGUCACACACCAGAAGGACUCCAAGGCUGGUACUGGCACACAGAACAUGGAGGUGGAAGCCCAGCCUUCCAUGGAGGCCAGGGGCUAAUUCUCUUCAGUAACACAAAAAACCUGGCAUGUUCUUUCUGCCAACAGAGGAAUGAGCUGUUUCCUUCUCCAAGGUCUUCUUCCCACAAGAAGAUUCACAAAACCUAGAGCUGGACCUUACUUCUAAUUAAACCAAAUAUACCUUUAUUGUGUAUUUGCAUAUUAAAACUGAUCAAGAAUCUCCAAAAUCUC